GCGCGUGGCGGCGUGUACUAACACAUGACAAGUACGAACGGUAAGUUUAAACGGUAAGUUUCGGAUGGAAGUUUAGAAACUUAGUGGCGGACGGGUGAGUAACGCGUGGGUAACCUGCCUCAUACAGGGGGAUAACAGUUAGAAAUGACUGCUAACACCGCAUAAUAUAGCGAAACCGCAUGAUUUUGCUAUCAAAUAUUUAUAGGUAUGAGAUGGGCCCGCGUCUGAUUAGCUAGUUGGUGGGGUAAAAGCCUACCAAGGCGACGAUCAGUAGCCGGCUUGAGAGAGUGACCGGCCACAUUGGGACUGAGACACGGCCCAAACUCCUACGGGAGGCAGCAGUGGGGAAUAUUGGACAAUGGGGGAAACCCUGAUCCAGCGAACCGCCGCGUGAGUGAAGAAGUAUUUCGGUAUGUAAAGCUCUAUCAGCAGGGAAGAUAAUGACAGUACCUGACUAAGAAGCCCCGGCUAACUACGUGCCAGCAGCGGC
rnacentral:rRNA from 1 species